UACAGAGGGUGCGAGCGUUGUCCGGAAUCACUGGGCGUAAAGGGCGCGUAGGUGACGCGACAAGUCAGUGGUGAAAGUUCGACGCUCAACGUCGAAUCGGCCACUGAUACUGUUGGGCUUGAGCACUGUAGAGGCUAAUGGAAUUCCGGGUGUAGCGGUGGAAUGCGUAGAGAUCCGGAAGAACACCGGUGGCGAAGGCAAUCCCCUGGACCGAUACUGACGCUGAGGCGCGAAAAGCGUGGGGAGCGAACAGG
rnacentral:rRNA from 1 species